rnacentral:rRNA from 1 species
AUUGAACGCUGGCGGCAGGCCUAACACAUGCAAGUCGAGCGAGCGGCGGACGGGUGAGUAAUGUCUGGGAAACUGCCUGAUGGAGGGGGAUAACUACUGGAAACGGUAGCUAAUACCGCAUACCAUCAGAUGUGCCCAGAGGGGAUUAGCUCGGAGGUGUGGUAACGGCUCACCCAGGCGACGAUCCCUAGCUGGUCUGGGAGGAUGACCAGCCACACUGGAACUGAGACACGGUCCAGACUCCUACGGGAGGCAGCAGUGGUGAAUAUUGCACAAUGGGCGCAAGCCUGAUGCAGCCAUGCCGCGUGUGUGAAGAAGGCCUGCGGGUUGUAAAGUACUUUCAGCGGGGAGGCGUUACCCGCAGAAGAAGCACCGGCUAACUCCGUGCCAGCAGCCGCGGUAAUAC